GAUGAACGCUGGCGGCGUGCCUAAUACAUGCAAGUCGAGCGAACGGACGAGAAGCUUGCUUCUCUGAUGUUAGCGGCGGACGGGUGAGUAACACGUGGAUAACCUACCUAUAAGACUGGGAUAACUUCGGGAAACCGUAGCUAAUACCGGAUAAUAUUUUGAACCGCAUGGUUCAAAAGUGAAAGACGGUCUUGCUGUCACUUAUAGAUGGAUCCGCGCUGCAUUAGCUAGUUGGUAAGGUAACGGCUUACCAAGGCAACGAUGCAUAGCCGACCUGAGAGGGUGAUCGGCCACACUGGAACUGAGACACGGUCCAGACUCCUACGGGAGGCAGCAGUAGGGAAUCUUCCGCAAUGGGCGAAAGCCUGACGGAGCAACGCCGCGUGAGUGAUGAGGUCUUCGGAUCGUAAAACUCUGUUAUUAGGGAAGAACAUAUGUGUAAGUAACUGUGCACAUCUUGACGGUACCUAAUCAGAAAGCCACGGCUAACUACGUG
rnacentral:rRNA from 1 species